AGAUUGAACGCUGGCGGCAUGCCUUACACAUGCAAGUCGAACGGCAGCACGGGAGCAAUCCUGGUGGCGAGUGGCGAACGGGUGAGUAAUAUAUCGGAACGUGCCCAGUCGUGGGGGAUAACGCAGCGAAAGCUGUGCUAAUACCACAUACGAUCUAUGGAUGAAAGCGGGGGAUCGCAAGACCUCGCGCGAUUGGAGCGGCCGAUAUCAGAUUAGCUAGUUGGUGGGGUAAAAGCCUACCAAGGCGACGAUCUGUAGC
rnacentral:rRNA from 1 species